rnacentral:rRNA from 1 species
CAGGCUUGACACAUGCAAGUCGAGGGGCAGCAUGGUCUUAGCUUGCUAAGGCCGAUGGCGACCGGCGCACGGGUGAGUAACACGUAUCCAACCUGCCGUCUACUCUUGGACAGCCUUCUGAAAGGAAGAUUAAUACAAGAUGGCAUCAUGAGUCCGCAUGUUCACAUGAUUAAAGGUAUUCCGGUAGACGAUGGGGAUGCGUUCCAUUAGAUAGUAGGCGGGGUAACGGCCCACCUAGUCUUCGAUGGAUAGGGGUUCUGAGAGGAAGGUCCCCCACAUUGGAACUGAGACACGGUCCAAACUCCUACGGGAGGCAGCAGUGAGGAAUAUUGGUCAAUGGGCGAGAGCCUGAACCAGCCAAGUAGCGUGAAGGAUGACUGCCCUAUGGGUUGUAAACUUCUUUAUAAGANGAAUAAAGUCGGGUAUGGAUACCCGUUUGCAUGACUUUUGAAAAUAAGGAUCGGCUAAUUCCGUGGCAGCAAGCCGCGGUAAUACGGAAGAUCCGAAGGUUUUCCGGGAUUUUAUGGGGUUUAAAGGGGAGCGUAGAAGGAUGUUAAAGUCAGUUGUGAAAUUUGCGGGGUCAACCUUAAAAUUUCAGUUGAUACUGGAUAUCUGGAGUGCAGUUUGAGGCAGGCGGAAAUUUGUGGUGUAGCGGUGAAAUGCUUAGAUAUCACGAAGAACUCCGAUUGCGAAGGCAGCCUGUUAAGCUGCAACUGACAUUGAGGCUCGAAAGUGUGGGUAUCAAACAGGAUUAGAUACCCUGGUAGUCCACACGGUAAACGAUGAAUACUCUCUGUUUGCGAUAUACUGCAAGCGGCCAAGCGAAAGCGUUAAGUAUUCCACCUGGGGAGUACGCCGUCAACGGUGAAACUCAAAGGAAUUGACGGGGGCCCGCACAAGCGGAGGAACAUGUGGUUUAAUUCGAUGAUACGCGAGGAACCUUACCCGGGCUUAAAUUGCAGAUGAAUUGCGGUGAAAGCCGUAAGCCGCAAGGCAUCUGUGAAGGUGCUGCAUGGUUGUCGUCAGCUCGUGCCGUGAGGUGUCGGUUUAAGUGCCAUAACGAGCGCAACCCUUGUUGUCAGUUACUAACAGGUUGCGUUGAGGAUUCUGACAAGACUGCCAUUGUAAGAUGUGAGGAAGGUGGGGAUGACGUCAAAUCAGCACGGCCCUUACGUCCGGGGCUACACACGUGUUACAAUGGGGGGUACAGAGGGCCGCUACCACGCGAGUGGAUGCCAAUCCCCAAAACCUCUCUCAGUUCGGACUGGAGUCUGCAACCCGACUCCAUGAAGUUGGAUUUGAUAGUAAUCGUGCAUCAGCCACGGCGCGGUGAAUACGUUCCCGGGCCUUGUACACUCCGCCCGUCAAGCCAUGGGAGCCGGGGGUACCUGAAGUGCGUAUCCGCGAGGAGCGCCUUAGGGUAAAACUGGU